ACCCCAGAGGAAAGUGGGUAGAAGCUGGAAACCUGGGCCUCCUCCCAAAGCAGGCUGUGCUGGAUCUGAAAACAUCUUGUUUUACAUCUUUCUUUAUCGUAAAUAUUGAUAGAGCAUAUGUACAUAACUUUUUGAUUUGGCAUAUACACAUAGCAUUUCCUACAAAAUCUUUAAGUAAAAUUGUCUCCAGGUACGCCCUCCACACUGCAAUAACCUGAGAUUAUUUGGACUCUCCUUAGAGAAAGAUGGAUGAAAGACUCAGGAGAAUCUGGAUCAGAUCUGGGUUUCAUCUUUUGGGAAUUGUGUGAUCACAGAGAGUUAAUUAAACUCUGUAACAUUUUGUUUCUUCAUCUGUACAAGGAGGAUUAAAAACACCAACCGUACAUGACUACCGUGAAGAUUGAAUGGAAUAUUCAGAUUGUUACACUCCUGGAAUGUGGCAUGGGAACCAAGGCUUGGAUUUGCUUGAACAUAACCAUGUUGGAAAUUGGCCUCAAAUUGGUUCACUUCUAGUGCCACACUACUUCACAAUGCCAGUGAUGUUACCUGCCUGAAUGAGUCACUUUGAAAGUGGAUUCUCCAGGCUGUCGCCUCUUCAGAUGACUGCAGCCCCCUGUUGACAUCUUGACCCCAACUUCUUGGGAGACUUUGAGCCAGAACUGCCCAAUCAAGUUCACAAACACAUGGGCUACAUGAACUGUGAGAGUUCAUGAACUGUCAGCCUCUUUUUGGUUCCUAAACUGAGGGACCUUUUUGCUGAAGAGCACUUUGUCUACCAAAGAAAACUCAAAGCCUCUGAUGUUUACUGUUGUAUUAAUCCAGAAAGUUUUGGAGCAAUCUGUUAUCCAGCUAUAGAUAACUAAUGUAGGUUUUCAUGCUUGGAAAUGAGGUGUUACCAAAGCAAAAAUCUAAAGUGAGAGAGCAUGUGGUAGAACCAGGCCGUGAAUGGACAGAGAGCCCUCACAGAAUACCUCAGGAAAAUCCUGAACAAGCUCUGAGGAACGGCUAACAGAAGUCUAAUUGCCAUCUAUGGGACUAACUGCUUAGCAGUGAGAGUGAAGAAAGUGUGAGAAACCAGUGGCGUAAAUUGCUGAAAGAAAUGUUAUGAUGAUAUAGGAUUAAAAAGAGAUAAACUAAAGGGAAAUGAUUAGCGAAAGGGGAAUAGCUUGCCAGUUUUGACAAUUACCAGCCCUUCAGAUGGUAACUGAUACUAAGAGCAAGAUAUAGUUUCUGGCAAAGAUCAAAGCUAGAGCACGGUCAGGAAAAUAUCACCUAAAUAUGAAGCUAAUGGCAGUGUUACAAAACCGUUUAGGAACUCAGAAAGAUUUAAGAGCAACUGUGUCAACUAACGGUGUGUCUAUAGUUGCUACCCCUCGGCAACUCCAUCAGAGUUUAGGGUAGAGAAGGGCUGAGCUCAGAGAUUUUGGGCAGGUCUUCUGUCUCUAAUAGAGUAAAUGGCAAAACAAUUUGUACGAGACCCAUAGCAUUCUUCAAAUAACUGUGUUCACAGAAAUACCGUCAGUUUGGACUGAAAGGACUACACAUCACAUAAAAUGAAAAAAAAUAAAUCAUUUGAGCCCAUAAACUUUUUAAAGCAGGAAACAUGCCGAGAAAACUAGACAACUACAAGUGUGGUAUUUUUCAAGGAAAAAAAUGGUCAGAAUCAAGAGCCCAAAACAGAGAUAAGAGGCUGGGUGUUAUUCCAAGGUCUACAGUCUCAUCAAGGAACUGCUAACAUGUGCAGUUAGCAGCUUAUUUCAGGGUCACUAGCAAUCAGACACUCUGGGGAGCCUCCUUUCCCCCAUUAUUACACUCGUCCUAUAUCAUCCUACUAUUGUACGUUAAGCAUGUGUGUGUGGGUUAUUAAUCAGAUUUCUGCCUUUAUAAUGAAAUACCUGACCAGGAUACUUAUAAAAUAAUGAGACUUUUAUUUUUGUGGUUUAUAAUUCUAGAGGCACAAGUCCAAGAUUUGGUAGUCCUACCAAUUUGGGUCUCUGGUAAGGGUAGCCCAUUGUGGUGGGAGUACAUCAGAGCAAGUGGCCAGGUCUUGACCCUGGAAACAGACAGACGAGGAGACUGUGGUUCUAUGGUGCCCUUUUUGAGACACCCCCUCCCAGUGACUGAAGAAUCACCACUUGCUCUGUGAUGGUUUGUGUCUAGGCAUCCCCCCAAAGCCUCAUGCAGCCACAGGGCUUUUCAGAGGUGGCUGAAUCUAG